CAAUAGCGUAUAUUAAAGUUGUUGCAGUUAAAAAGCUCGUAGUUGGAUUUCGGGGCAGCCUGGCUGGUCCGCCGCAAGGCGAGUACUGGUCAGCCGCCCUUCCUCUCGAAAGCCCCGACUGCUCUUUACUGUAGUGGUCGGGUAGUUCGGGACGUUUACUUUGAAAAAAUUAGAGUGUUCAAGGCAGGCCUACGCCUGAAUACAUUAGCAUGGAAUAAUGGAAGAGGACCUCGGUCCUAUUUUGUUGGUUUCCAGGGCCGAAGUAAUGAUUAAGAGGGACAGUUGGGGGCAUUCGUAUUUAAUUGUCAGAGGUGAAAUUCUCGGAUUUAUGAAAGACGGACAACUGCGAAAGCAUUUGCCAAGGAUGUUUUCAUUAA
rnacentral:rRNA from 1 species